UAAUGGCUCAAAGAAAUUUUA
ensembl:piRNA 21ur-11758 ncRNA